CCAAUCCUGACUCAGGGAGGUAGUGACAAGAAAUAACAACACUGGAAAUUUUAUUUCUAGUGAUUGGAAUGAUGGGAAUCCAAACCCCUUUCAGAGUAACAAUUGGAGGGCAAGUCUGGUGCCAGCAGCCGCGGUAAUUCCAGCUCCAAUAGCGUAUAUUAAAGUUGUUGCAGUUAAAAAGCUCGUAGUUGGAUAUCUGCUGGAAGCAGCCAGUCCGCCCUUUGUGGGUGUGCACUUGGUGAAUUCUGGCAUCCUCCUGAUUGGUGUUACCAUCACUUGAUUGUGUUGGUGGCAGCUGUCAGGACUGUUACUUUGAGAAAAUUAGAGUGUUUCAAGCAGGCUUGUUGCCUUGAAUACUGCAGCAUGGAAUAACAAGAUAGGAUUUCGGUUCUAUUUUGUUGGUUUCUAGGACUGAAGUAAUGAUUAAUAGGGACAGUUGGGGGCAUUCGUAUUUAACUGUCAGAGGUGAAAUUCUUAGAUUUGUUAAAGACGAACUACUGCGAAAGCAUUUGCCAAAGAUGUUUUCAUUAAUCAAGAACGAAAGUUAGGGGCUCGAAGACGAUCAGAUACCGUCGUAGUCUUAACCAUAAACUAUGCCG
rnacentral:rRNA from 1 species